CAGUUUAUUUUUGUUUAACGGGGAGGAAUGCAUCCAAGCCUUCUUGCAGCACAAAGGGAUCUGCGAGCACUCUGAGCAGCGAGGAGUUGCUAGGAUCACUAUAAAUGUCAGCUUUGCAACUAAAAGUGUUCAUUUGGCAAGGAACAGCAUGUACCUGUACAGAAAAGCUGGAGGACACUACCGAGGAGUGCUGUCUUACCUUUUACAAGGAGUUAUGACUCCUCUUUCCCUGCUGUACUGAUCUCCCGGUAUCUUUAACUUGUGCUGUAACUGAAGAGAUACAAGUGGCUCGCAGAUUUAAUAGAAAUUUUUAUAAACCCCCUUCCUAGAUCUUGCAAAUGCUGAGUUCUGCGUUAUUCCUGGCAGAAUUAGCCUGGAUACUGUAGUGUCAUUAAACCAGAAAAGAUGAGCUGGGGCUUCACCUUUUUCUCAAGGUAUGAAUGGCGACCACAGAGCAAGGAGCUCCUGUGGUUGUAGAGGAAAUUCAGAUUGGAUGACGGGAGGUUUCCAGAAAAUAAACAGUUCACACCUCACAGUGCUUUUGGGGUUAUAAAGGGUGGAAGAGGAGAGAAGGGACUCCUGGGGACCAAGAAGCUUCCUGCUUGCAUUAAUGUUAUCUCAAUACCAAAUCCUUGCUGUAGUGGUGUUCUUCAAAACCACUAGUAGAAAGGAUGUCACUGCUGAAAUCUGAGUUCUUUCCACCUCUGCCUGGGCCUCAACAUCUACUGUAUAAAAAUUGGCUGAACUUCAAGAUGGCUUUCCCCCUCCCUGUCCUUGCAGAGGAGGAGUGGGAGAGGAUGUGUCAAUACCGUGUCAUCGCAGCAGGACUUUUCUGCUGAAGGAUGCUGCUUUCCUCUUUAAAAGUCUCUAGAGACUAAACAGCUGGAAACUUUAACCUAGAUGUGUUUUGGGGGUUUAUGAUUAAUGUCGUGUGUUGCAAGCGAUGGACUGAGCUGGAGAGAAAACAGUUUAUAGCAAAGCUGCUUAUUUUUUCUUUCCAGUGCUAGAAUCCUCUUCCUCUCUGUUUUUGCAUCUUGGGCAGAGUAUCUGUUCCAGUCCUCGAUGUGCCGGUAACGUGGUCUGUUGUUUCAACCAACACAACGCAUUGAGCAGUGUCUCGCAAGUGCUGCUUGCAACUUGGUCCUCCCCCUUCCCACAUGCUGUAUGCUUUUUUUUUUUUUUUUUUUCCCCACUAUUUUGCACUAUUUCACAUCCACUGGAACUGAAAGUCUCUCCUGGUCUGUAUAUAGGAACAGCUGUUUUGAUGUGUGGAUUUAGUGUUUCCACUGAGCCAAAUAUAGGCUUUACGUUGAUAGCUGAUCACUGCUAUGCUUAAUGUUUAAAUAACUGAGAGAAAGGAUGUCAGGGUAUUUUAAGAGAUCAACCCUUCCCCCUCAGCCCUUUGUAACAGACAAACACAGCCUCUCACUGUUUCUAUCUGUUGCUUCAUUAAGGGCUCCAUUCAUUUUAUAAACAACACAGCUGCUGACCAGUGUUGGGAGGGGGGGAAGGCUUCUGAUUGCAACUGCCAAACAGUUCAAUGCCUGUUCCCUGCAACUCAGCAUGGGGAUCGUUUGCUCACCCAGCACCUCCUGGGGACUGGAGGAGAAUUGUUAUUUGGAUGUAAUUAAAAAGGCAGCCCUCCACCCCAUACACCCUGCAUAUUUUUGGCACUGGUGGCUGUGGGAUGUACAUCAGACACUGGAUGCAGAUAUCACUGGGCAUCUCCGGAAGAUCCCAAGGGUUGGGAAAAGGGAAAAGGGGUAGCAGGCAGCUCUUCCUUCCCAAGCAGCACCACUACGGUGAGCUGUGACCCACAGCAGAGCUGGAAAAAAUAUCCUUGGGUGACCCGCCACUCUCUGCAAUUGCUUAUGGCUGAAGUGGAUUAUGGUAUUCAGGUCAAGCCUACAAGGCCGACAGGAUGAUUGUCAUGAGCAGGACGCGUGUCAAACUGUCUUGGCUUACCCUGGAUUGCAAAAUUGUCACUCCCAUCCUUUGUCAAACCUUUCCCUGGACCGCUGCGCCAGAGGGGUCUAACACCAGCUUGGAUCCUGGAAUCACAAUGCUUCUGAGAUCUUUACUCUUUUGCCUACUUUGUUUGCCAUUCCCCACAAAAGGACUUCCUGACAAACAAAUGUACAGUACGGUUGCAUAUGCCCUAUUCCCUUAGGAAACCAGGCUAGAAACAGAAACAUCUUGGGUGCGUUGGGCAAGAUCUGUGGUUUCCAGGCAUUCACUUCACUAAAA